rnacentral:lncRNA from 1 species
CUGGGAUUCUGAAAAACCGUUAAAGAGGCACAUUGAUGGCCUCUGAAUAGAAACACUGUAGCGCGUUUUGGAUUGGCUCUGUUCUGGGGGUUCUUGACACUCAUAUGCUCAAAUCAGAGUGGUCAAAGGUUUCUUUUGUGUCCAAAACACCCAGACGGUCUGAUUUCAACCAUGCAUGUGCUUCUGGGUGAAUGCAGAUGGGAAGUGGCUCUUCCUAUCAAAAGGGAGCGUUUGCCUCUUGCAAAGAUGAUGAAUUAACCUUGGCAGUCAGAUGGGAGAGUCAGAGAGCUGCAGCCCCAG